GUUAAGCGACUAAGCGUACACGGUGGAUGCCCUGGCAGUCAGAGGCGAUGAAGGACGUGCUAAUCUGCGAUAAGCGUCGGUAAGGUGAUAUGAACCGUUAUAACCGGCGAUUUCCGAAUGGGGAAACCCAGUGUGUUUCGACACACUAUCAUUAACUGAAUCCAUAGGUUAAUGAGGCGAACCGGGGGAACUGAAACAUCUAAGUACCCCGAGGAAAAGAAAUCAACCGAGAUUCCCCCAGUAGCGGCGAGCGAACGGGGAGCAGCCCAGAGCCUGAAUCAGUGUGUGUGUUAGUGGAAGCGUCUGGAAAGGCGCGCGAUACAGGGUGACAGCCCCGUACACAAAAAUGCACAUGCUGUGAGCUCGAUGAGUAGGGCGGGACACGUGGUAUCCUGUCUGAAUAUGGGGGGACCAUCCUCCAAGGCUAAAUACUCCUGACUGACCGAUAGUGAACCAGUACCGUGAGGGAAAGGCGAAAAGAACCCCGGCGAGGGGAGUGAAAAAGAACCUGAAACCGUGUACGUACAAGCAGUGGGAGCACGCUUAGGCGUGUGACUGCGUACCUUUUGUAUAAUGGGUCAGCGACUUAUAUUCUGUAGCAAGGUUAACCGAAUAGGGGAGCCGAAGGGAAACCGAGUCUUAACUGGGCGUUAAGUUGCAGGGUAUAGACCCGAAACCCGGUGAUCUAGCCAUGGGCAGGUUGAAGGUUGGGUAACACUAACUGGAGGACCGAACCGACUAAUGUUGAAAAAUUAGCGGAUGACUUGUGGCUGGGGGUGAAAGGCCAAUCAAACCGGGAGAUAGCUGGUUCUCCCCGAAAGCUAUUUAGGUAGCGCCUCGUGAAUUCAUCUCCGGGGGUAGAGCACUGUUUCGGCAAGGGGGUCAUCCCGACUUACCAACCCGAUGCAAACUGCGAAUACCGGAGAAUGUUAUCACGGGAGACACACGGCGGGUGCUAACGUCCGUCGUGAAGAGGGAAACAACCCAGACCGCCAGCUAAGGUCCCAAAGUCAUGGUUAAGUGGGAAACGAUGUGGGAAGGCCCAGACAGCCAGGAUGUUGGCUUAGAAGCAGCCAUCAUUUAAAGAAAGCGUAAUAGCUCACUGGUCGAGUCGGCCUGCGCGGAAGAUGUAACGGGGCUAAACCAUGCACCGAAGCUGCGGCAGCGACGCUUAUGCGUUGUUGGGUAGGGGAGCGUUCUGUAAGCCUGUGAAGGUGUACUGUGAGGUAUGCUGGAGGUAUCAGAAGUGCGAAUGCUGACAUAAGUAACGAUAAAGCGGGUGAAAAGCCCGCUCGCCGGAAGACCAAGGGUUCCUGUCCAACGUUAAUCGGGGCAGGGUGAGUCGACCCCUAAGGCGAGGCCGAAAG
rnacentral:rRNA from 1 species